rnacentral:rRNA from 1 species
GAUGAACGCUAGCGGCAGGCUUAACACAUGCMAGUCGAGGGGUAUAGUWGCAAUACUAGUAGACCGGCGCWCGGGUGCGUAACGCGUAUGCAAUCUACCUUUUACAGAGGGAUAGCCCAGAGAAAUUUGGAUUAAUACCUCAUAGUAUAUUAGAGUGGCAUCACUUUAUUAUUAAAGUUCCAACGGUAAAAGAUGAGCAUGCGUCCUAUUAGCUAGAUGGUAAGGUAACGGCUUACCAUGGCUACGAUAGGUAGGGGUCCUGAGAGGGAGAUCCCCCACACUGGUACUGAGACACGGACCAGACYYMUACGGGAGGCAGCAGUGAGGAAUAUUGGACAAUGGGCGCAAGCCUGAUCCAGCCAUGCCGCGUGCAGGAAGAAGCAUCUAUGGUGUGUAAACUGCUUUUGUACAGGAAGAAACAUCCCGACGUGUCGGGACUUGACGGUACUGUAAGAAUAAGGAUCGGCUAACUCCGUGCCAGCAGCCGCGGUAAUACGGAGGAUCCAAGCGUUAUCCGGAAUCAUUGGGUUUAAAGGGUCCGUAGGCGGUUUGGUAAGUCAGUGGUGAAAGCCCAUCGCUUAACGAUGGAACGGCCAUUGAUACUGCCAGACUUGAAUUAUUGUGAAGUAACUAGAAUAUGUAGUGUAGCGGUGAAAUGCUUAGAUAUUACAUGGAAUACCAAUUGCGAAGGCAGGUUACUAACAAUAUAUUGACGCUGAUGGACGAAAGCGUGGGGAGCGAACAGGAUUAGAUACCCUGGUAGUCCACGCCGUAAACGAUGGAUACUAGCUGUUCGGAGCAAUCUGAGUGGCUAAGCGAAAGUGAUAAGNUAUCCCACCUGGGGAGUACGUUCGCAAGAAUG